rnacentral:rRNA from 1 species
CAGUCGCCGCGGGAAUACGAAGGGUGCAAGCGUUACUCGGAAUUACUGGGCGUAAAGCGUGCGUAGGUGGUGGUUUAAGUCCGUUGUGAAAGCCCUGGGCCCAACCUGGGAAUUGCAGUGGAUACUGGGUCACUAGAGUGUGGUAGAGGAUAGUGGAAUUUCCGGUGUAGCAGUGAAAUGCGUAGAGAUCGGAAGGAACAUCUGUGGCGAAGGCGACUAUCUGGGCCAACACUGACACUGAGGCACGAAAGCGUGGGGAGCAAACAGGAUUAGAUACCCCAGUAGUCCCUGUCUCUUAUAC